rnacentral:rRNA from 1 species
GAUGAACGCUGGCGGCGUGCCUAAUACAUGCGAGUCGAGCGAACAGACGAGGAGCUUGCUCCUCUGACGUUAGCGGCGGACGGAUGAGUAACACGUGGAUAACCUACCUAUAAGACUGGGAUAACUUCGGGAAACCGGAGCUAAUACCGGAUAAUAUAUUGAACCGCAUGGUUCAAUAGUGAAAGACGGUUUUGCUGUCACUUAUAGAUGGAUCCGCGCCGCAUUAGCUAGUUGGUAAGGUAACGGCUUACCGAGGCAACGAUGCGUAGCCGACCUGAGAGGGUGAUCGGCCACACUGGAACUGAGACACGGUCCAGACUCCUACGGGAGGCAGCAGUAGGGAAUCUUCCGCAAUGGGCGAAAGCUUGACGGAGCAACGCCGCGUGAGUGAUGAAGGUCUUCGGAUCGUAAAACUCUGUUAUUAGGGAAGAACAAAUGUGUAAGUAACUAUGCACGUCUUGACGGUACCUAAUCAGAAAGCCACGGCUAACUACGUG